UGGUCAAAAGGAAAAAGUGAAACAAAAAAAAAGGGGGCCGGCGUUUCCUAUUCUUCCCCUUCCUUCUUCGUCUCGCUCCGAGUCGCCCUCGCUCAAUGUUCCUGCGCUCGUUCUGCCGUGUUCUCUGAUUAGCCUGUUGCUCUCAAAUUUCUUCAGCGACGUGCUGUGCCUGUCGUGGUCUCCUGUGCGGCGACGUCGCCUCUUCGCCUGCUCGCGUCGCUAGCUGCAUCGGCUGUGCGGCGGCGUGCCUAUCUGCCUCGUCGCGUCGCCGUCUGCAUCGGCAUGUUCUUUGCUGUGCCGUAAGCCGUCCCCUGCUUCAUCUGCUCCCUUCUUUAUUAUGUGGCCGGGGCUACCUUCGUGCUUCUUCAGCGGGCCUUAUACCGGCUCGUCUGCCCGUGCUGAGUCUCUGUGUUGCCUUUUUUUUGUCCAUGUCUUCUAAAUCAGAUUUGUUCCCUUUUGUUUCCUAUGUUGUGCUUUUACAUUGUGCUUCUGAUUUGAUCAUUUGUGUUUCUGAUUUGUUCAUUUUCUAGGAUGUGCCUGGGUUUACUGUUAAUGCGCGCUACUCUUCUGUUGUGUGCGUUGUUUAGUGUUUCCUAAUAGGUUGCGUGCCUACUUGUGUGCCCGUUGUUUUUAGGGAAUGUAGUUAUUUAGAUUACCUCUUGUUUAUUGGAUUUAUUUAGGCGCCUCUACAGACCUCUACAUGUGAAAUCAGGUGUGCUUAGUAGUUUCUUAUAGUGUUAACAUAGUUUCCGUGCGUUAUAUCUAUACUUAUUUUGCGACCAUGCGCAAUAGGUUGACGACUUUUGUUCAAAAUGAAGCAUACUGUAUCUCUACGAUUUUUAAGUACUAAAGACAUUUUCGUCAGCCUAAUCUGUUCGAUGGUUGCAGGUUGUUGCACGUGCUGGUUAAUUUCUCUCCCCGUGUUUUCUGAUUUGUGGUUCGCCUACGGUUGCCUGCACGAUUCUUACCUGCUACACCAGUUCUUCCGUCCCGUUGCCUGUUUGCAGGUACGAUUGUAAAUCUCUUCUUUCAUUACCUGUUUUAGUUGCUUUGCUUAUUGGCUUGUGCCAUGUUCUCAUCAGUUAGUAGCUAUAUUUCUUAGUUGAUGUAAUUCCUUUUUUACGCUAACAUCCGUUUAUGCAUUUUUAAAAUUUUUAAAUUUCGAAAAUGAAAGAAUUUUUGUCUCAGAAACAGAGUUACGAGAGCAAUAAACUUCCUCCUCGGACCAGAGCAAGCGAAGCAAAAAAAAUGAUGAUAGACGCAGAUGCUACACCAUGUUUUGUUUCAUCGUUGACCCAUUUGUGCCUUGUCUUUUUUGAUUUGAUUGCCUUACGUGCUGUGCUAUAUUCUAUUGUGCCUUCUUGAUCACAUAUUUUCCCCAUUUUGUGUUCCUUUCCCUGUUUCCUAUUCUUUGCCUUGUGUCGUUGUUUUUCUUCUCUUCGUGUGCUGCCGCUUUAGGCCCUCAACGUCCGGUUUCUAUAUUUUCCAACCAUGUUUACUGUCCAUGUUUCUUGCCUGCCUACUCUUCAGAUUGUAGCGCAGUACUGUAGCGUUCCAUUGGUUGCAUUUAUAAAUGAGUUUGCACCAGACAAUACAGCGUUAUAUGGUAUAGAAAUCCACCUACCUUUGUUAUUCCCGUGUGACGUACCACGCCGUCUCUUCUUUUGGUCUGACUCAUCUGUGUUCUGCUU
rnacentral:lncRNA from 1 species